AACGUAGGAGGCGAGCGUUAUCCGGAUUUACUGGGCGUAAAGCGUGUGUAGGCGGUUCGGCAAGUUGGAUGUGAAAGCUCCUGGCUUAACUAGGAGAGGUCGUUCAAUACUACCGAACUUGAGGGCAUCAGAGGAGAGUGGAAUUCCCGGUGUAGUGGUGAAAUGCGUAGAUAUCGGGAGGAACACCAGUGGCGAAAGCGGCUCUCUGGGAUGCAUCUGACGCUCAGACACGAAAGCUAGGGUAGCGAACGGG
rnacentral:rRNA from 1 species